rnacentral:lncRNA from 1 species
CUCAGGCCAAACUUCAUGGCUUAAGGCUGAAACGGCCAGGGCCAAGGCAAGAAGCCUUACUAGAUAUACCAAGUUUAGGUGGGUCCUCUCUGUAGGGGAUGCUGUAGCCACGCCUGCUUAGGGGCUGGCUACAGGUGUGCCUGACCACACCUGGUCAGGGUGACAUAGGGAAAGUUUAAGAGGAGGGAUGCUUUACUUGGUGGCCUGCUUUCACUUUCAUCUUCAGCUUGCUGUACUUCUGCUGCCUGCCGGCUGGCUAGGUCACUCUGGCCACACGUCUCUACGUGGACUCAAGAAAGCCGGUACCUGGGGACACCAUGUAGAGCUUGCUUUGAAUGAGGCUGGGCUUUCCAGUGGUCCUGUCCACCUAGAUAACUGCUGACACUGGAUUGCAAUCCCAGAACUGAAGAGGCAGAGAAAGACAGAUUCCUG